GGGGUGCUGUCGGGGCUCCGGUGUCGCAGGCACCGACCCUGCGCCGCCCCCGCUCGGCGCCGGGGCCCGGCUGCUCAGGUCUCCGCGGCCCCGCGCUCCGCCCCGCGCGGGCAGAGCUCUUGCCCAUGUGAAUCAGUCUACACAACCUAGGACAUCUUUUGGUACCUGAUUCUCUGAAGUUGAGCAUCUUCUUUGGAUGGCUCCUUGGGCAUCUGGCUGGCCUCUGCAAUUAUAUCUCGAAUUUUCUGUAGGCAAUCUGCCAGAUUCCGGAACUGAUAGCGGCUGCUUUCGGAGGUGAGUAUCAACUCUCCUUCCCUGUUGAUCUUAUUUUUAUGCUGAAAGAACAAAAGUGGAGUUCUGCAGAGUAAAGGUUUAGAAGCCGCUGAUGAAUCUGCAGGGAAAUAAAGGGAGAGUGGUUACCUUGAGCGCAAUCUUCUGCCUCACAGGCUCUGCAAUCCAGUCAGCUGUGGCCAAAUGGAACCUGACUUCAGCCUUGGAAUUCACUGCGGAUGAAAGAAAGGAGUAGUGGUCACUGAGACUUGGGAAGAUAAAGCACCCAGGGGACCAGUGACUAUCCUGGAACCAAGGGAAGUCAGAUACCCAGCCAUGCAUGUGCUGGCCUUUGUCGAAGUUGGCCAUGGAACGAGCCCGCAAAGGCAGUGAGGCUCUUCAGGACAAAAAACCUUCUGGUAACUACCCAUGCAAUGCUCCUCUUCCAGUUUUACUGGCUUCUGUAAAUAAUGGGGGGAAUGGGUUCCACAAGAAUGAAGGAAACCUGUUCUUGGAGCUGGCUGCCAGCUCACACUGUGAGUUCUCUUUGUUUAGCUUCACAAGCCAAUCCUACUCCUAGCAAGCCAUAGCUGAGAGCCUGAGAAUCAGACCACAUUCAAAAGGAUAAAGAGGAUUAUUAUAAGCUGGUGGUAUUUAAGCUUUGGCUGAAAAAAAUCCCUUUAUUCCACAUGAAUGUAAAAACAGCUCCCUCUUCAAUCCCCUCUCCCAGCUAAGUUUUAAAGCAACAGAAAACACCAAGGUACCUGUACCUUUGUUUACAUUCUGCCCGCCGGGACCACUACUCCGACAGUAAGAUAUCGUCAAGCGAUCUAUAAAAUGAAAGGAUGCACACCCAAAGGGUUAUCCCAUGGCCAAAUGUACAGACUGCUAACUAUCAACGUAACUGUCCUUAUUACACAUCUCUUUCAAUCACACAAGGCACACACAAAUGUAGUAUUCAGGCCAGUAAAGCUGUAGAGUAUUUAUAGAUGUCAAAACUGAAAUAAAGGGCAAGUACUUCCCCAAGGUCAUAGAAACAGCAGAGAAAUAAAAUUAUGACUGGG